rnacentral:rRNA from 1 species
GACGAACGCUGGCGGCGUGCCUAAUACAUGCAAGUCGAACGCAGUGGGGACGGGUGAGUAACCCGUGGUUAACCUCCCAUCAGAGGGGAUAACACUUGGAAACAGGUGCUAAACCGAUACUGAUGGAUGGACCCGCGGUGCAUUAGCUAGGUGGUGAGGGAACGGCUCACCAAGGCCACGAUGCAUAGCGGACCUGAGAGGGUGAUCGGCCACAAUGGGACUGAGACACGGCCCGGACUCCUCGGGAAGGAAGCAGUAGGGAACUUUCGGCAAUGGACGAAAGUCGGACCGAGCAAGGCCGCGGGAGUGAAGAAGGUUUUCGGAUCGUAAAACUCUGUGGUUAGAGAAGCGGUAUCUAACCAGAAAGCCACGGCUAACUACGUGCCAGCAGCCGCGGUAAUAC